AUUGAACGCUGGCGGCAGGCCUAACACAUGCAAGUCGAGCGAGCGGCGGACGGGUGAGUACUGUAUGGGGACUGCCCGAUAGAGGGGGAUAACUACUGGAAACGGUAGCUAAUACCGCAUACUAUCGGAUAACCCAGAUGGGAUUAGCUAGUGGGUGAGGUAAUGGCUCACCUCGGCGACGAUCCCUAGCUGGGCUGAGAGGAUGAUCAGCAACACUGGGACUGAGACACGGCCCAGACUACUACGGAGGCAGCAGGGGGGAAUAUUGCACAAUGGGCGCAAGCCUGAUGCAGACAUGCCGCGUGUAUGAAGAAGGCCAUAGGGUUGUAAAGGACUUUCAGUCGGGAGGCGUUACCGACAGAAGAAGCACCGGCUAACUCCGUGCCAGCAGCCGCGGUAAUAC
rnacentral:rRNA from 1 species